rnacentral:rRNA from 1 species
UGGGGAAUAUUGCACAAUGGGGGGAAACCCUGAUGCAGCGACGCCGCGUGAUUGAAGAAGUAUUUCGGUAUGUAAAGAUCUAUCAGCAAGGAAGAAAAUGACGGUACUUGACUAAGAAGCCCCGGCUAACUACGUGCCAGCAGCCGCGGUAAUACGUAGGGGGCAAGCGUUAUCCGGAUUUACUGGGUGUAAAGGGAGCGUAGGCGGUCUGGCAAGCCAGAAGUGAAAGCCCGGGGCUUAACCCCGGGACUGCUUUUGGAACUGUUAGACUAGAGUGUCGGAGAGGUAAGUGGAAUUCCUAGUGUAGCGGUGAAAUGCGUAGAUAUUAGGAGGAACACCAGUGGCGAAGGCGGCUUACUGGACGAUAACUGACGCUGAGGCUCGAAAGCGUGGGGAGCAAACAGGAUUAGAUACCCUGGUAGU